rnacentral:rRNA from 1 species
CAGUCGCCACGGGAAUACAGAGGGUGCGAGCGUUAAUCGGAUUUACUGGGCGUAAAGCGUGCGUACGCGGCUUCUUAAGUCGGAUGUGAAAUCCCUGAGCUUAACUUAGGAAUUGCAUUCGAUACUGGGAAGCUAGAGUAUUGGAGAGGAUGGUAGAAUUCCAGGUGUAGCGGUGAAAUGCGUAGAGAUCUGGAGGAAUACCGAUGGCGAAGGCAGCCAUCUGGCCUAAUACUGACGCUGAGGUACGAAAGCAUGGGGAGCAAACAGGAUUAGAUACCCCAGUAGUCCCUGUCUCUUAUAC